GUACUUAUCUGGCAGAGGACACCAUGAUCACAAAGGUGGUUUUCCCAGGACAAGCUUAUCUAUCCAUUUUUCUCCAAUAUACUGACCCCUGUGAUUUCCCCAAAUGUGGGAAACUUGUCUGCAUAGUUUGUGGUAGUGGGGCAUUGCAUGCAUGCUCUCUCCUG